UCUUUCAUGAUGUAAAUUAAUGUAAAGUGAAAAUAACGGAACGAAACUAGAAAAAAGAAAGUUUAUGAUAUAUAACUGUAUACGAAGAAAAGAUUUGACAUUUCGUGGUUACGAACAUUAGUAAGCUUCUUUAUAAACAAAAAAUUAAAGAAACGGGCAUGGAAAAUACCUCGAAUAAGGAAGAACAGAAUAAUCAGAAUGAUUCAGACUCUGAGGUAGACGAGGUAGAACCUAGACUCAAAUACGUCAGAGUACGAAAUGAUUUAGAACAUAUAUUACAAAAUGAUGCAGCUAGUUGCAUUGCAGUACAUCCUAAGUUCCUAUGUCUGGGUUCACACUGGGGUAUGAUACAUCUUUUAGAUCAUCAAGGAAAUAAUAUACAGUCUAAAAGUUUACAAGCACAUACAGUUGCUGUCAAUCAGAUUUCUAUAGACCAUAAUGGAGAUUUCAUUGCAUCCUGUAGUGAUGAUGGAAAAGUUUUUAUAUAUGGUCUUUAUAGCACAGAGAAUAAUCAUAACAUGAGCAUGGGUAGAUUAGUUAAAAGUAUAGCUAUAGAUCCAAAUUAUUAUAAAAGUUGUAGCGGAAGAAGAUUUAUUACAGGGGAUGAUAAAUUGGUUUUGUAUGAAAAAACAUUUUUAUCCAGAAUGAAACUAACUGUAUUGUGCGAUGCGGAAGGAGGAGUAAGAUCAAUUGCAUGGAUUGGACAUUUUGUGGCUUGGGCAUCUGAUACUGGUGUCAGAAUCUAUGAUUUAAAUGCCAAAUGUUCAUUAGGUCUCAUUAAGUGGACUAGAUCUACUGAUGCAUUACCAGAACACUACAGAUGUAAUCUUCGAUGGUCAGAUGAUAGAACAUUAUUAAUUGGUUGGGUUGACAUAGUACGAAUUUGUCAAAUUAGAAAGAGGUCGAUACAGGAAAUGGUUAACAGAGACCUACCGGAAUUUGUGGUAGAUCCAGUUUCAACUUUCCAAGUGGACUUUUACAUUUCCGGUAUUGCACCUUUAGAAAAUCAGUUAGUAUUACUAGGUUGCUUGAAAGAAUUGGAUGAAGAUGGAAAGAGUCAGAGGCCCACAUUACAUGUUGUUGAACCAAAGUAUCAUGAUUUUACUCUUGUGUGUGCAAAUUCACUUACACUUCGUGGUUAUAAAGAAUACAGUUGUAAUGAUUAUCAUUUAGACUGUUUGAAAGAGGAAAACAGGUUUUUUAUUGUCAGUCCAAAAGAUAUUGUUGUGGCCAGUUUAUAUGAUGCGGAUGACAGAAUUGAGUGGCUAUUGAGUCAUGGAAAAUUCGAACAAGCAUUAGAGGCAGUAACAUUAGAUAAUGGCAAAGAUUGUAAGAAGUACACUUUUGUUUAUGUUGGCCGUAUAUACUUAGAUCAUUUGUUAGCUUGUGGAAAAUAUGAUGAAGCAGGAAAACUCUGCUCUAAAAUUUUAGGAAAGGAUAAAAAAUUAUGGGAGGAAGAAGUAUAUAAAUUUGCAAGAGUUCACCAACUGAGGUCUAUUUCUUCUUAUCUCCCAAGAGGCGAUGUCACGUUAGAUCCAUUGAUUUACGAAAUGGUCCUUUAUGAAUAUUUGAAAAUGGAUCCUGAUGGAUUUCUUCAACUAGUCAAAGAAUGGUCUCCUAAAUUAUAUAAAGUUGCAGCUGUUGUAAAUGGUGUUUUGGAACAUCUUAUCGUUGAUAAUCAACGACAAAAUGUACUGUUAGAAGCUUUAGCUAUUCUAUAUAUUCAUGAUGAAAAAUAUGAUAAAGCGUUAGCCAUGUAUUUAAAAUUGAGACAUAAGGAUGUAUUUCAGCUUAUUAAAAAAUACCAUCUGUAUAAUACCGUUUACGACAUGAUAGAAGGUUUAAUGGAUCUAGAUGCGGAACGUGCUAUACAAUUUUUUUUAGAAAAGGAUGCAGUACCAUCUGAUAUCGUUGUACAAAAAUUGCAGCAUAAUCAUCGAUAUUUAUACUUGUAUUUAGAUGAAUUAAAUAAAAAAGAUACAGAAGAUAAAUAUCAUGGAUUGUUAGUCCAGCUUUAUGCUAAUUAUUCAAGAGAUAAAUUGUUACCUCUCCUACGCCGUUCUAAUAAUUAUCCAAUACAACAAGCACUAGAUAUCUGUAGUCAGCGAAAAUUUUAUCCAGAAAUGGUAUAUCUACUUGGUAGAAUUGGAAACACUUCUGAAGCUUUAGCACUUAUGACACGAGAAUUAAACGAUAUGCAGAGUGCGAUCGCAUUUUGCCAAGAACACGAUGACGAAGAACUGUGGAAUGAUUUGAUUAUUUAUUCUCUGGAUAAGCCCAAGGCUAUUACAUUUUUGUUGCAAAAAAUAGGCACAUAUGUCGAUCCUAGACUUAUGGUACAAAGAAUAGAACCAUCUUUAGAAAUUCCUGGUUUAAAGAAAGCUUUAGUUAAGAUGAUGUGUGACUACAAUCUCCAAGUGUCAGUACAAGAAGGAUGUAGAAAAAUGUUAUCCAAUGAUUAUUUCAAUUUACAUGAAAGACUAGUUAAAUGUUAUCAAAAAGGGAUAUUUAUAGAUGAUGACCAAAUGUGUGGAGCUUGCCAUAGGAAAAUAAUUGUAAGAGAACCAAGGAAUCUAGUUGUAUUUUAUUGUAAACAUUCGUUUCAUGAGGAUUGUCUACCAAAUUUCGAGGUAGUGGAAAAUUGUGUUAUAUGUAACUCGCAAAAAGAUAUAUCUCCUAGCAGAAAAUGAUACAGCUUUUGUAGUAUUUGAUCAAUAGUAGCACAUUUAGUACAUAUUUUGAAUACUUUAAGACAUCCUGGACAUAUCGAAUAAGACUGAAAAUUAAAGAAUUAUAUGAUUGUUUUAUAAAUAUAGUACCGAUAUAAAAUUGUAUUAUAAAUACAUAUAAAAUUUACUUUAUGAUCUCCACAAACUUGAGUAAUAGCUUGACAUUGAUCACAAGUUCUCUUUAAUUGUGGUAAGAUAUCAGGCAUAGAAUUUGUUGGAAUAGAUACAUCAAAUUUUUCUUGAUCAGGCAGUGGAAUUUUGAUGUUGCCGAACUAAUAAUUUUUGACCCACCGAAAUGACCAUCAAUAUACAUCGAAGAUUGCACAUGCACUAAAAAUUCUCGAGCCUUGGGCCCGAUGGAUUCUACCAGAAUACAAUAACCGCCUAUUGGUUCCGUCUCCUUCAUAGGUUCAUUUUUUAAAGAAAUUAUUAAGGUCUCCCGGAAACAUAAAUCUGCUUGAUUUACAUCGUCUGAAGUACAAAAAGAAAGAAGCAGAGUAUUUAGAACAGCAUAAUAUUUUUUUCAAAAAGAAUUUACAGUCUAAUAGUGAAAACGACAUAGCUUAUAAGUAUCAAAAAAAUUACAUUCCAGAUACAAUUCAUUUCACCAGCAGCGAAUAAAUUUACCAACUUGUACAUUAGAUAUUUUUCUAUAUUAUAUUUUAUUAUGUACCGUUUUUUAUGGACGUUUAUUUGUUUUAUUUAUGGAAUAUCUUUAUUCGUUGUUGGAGAAAUUUAGUUAGAGCGAAUUAUUUUAAUAGGAUAUGGGGUGCAAACAUUUUACUAUUGUGAAAAAUUUUUAACAGGUUCAUCAUUACUUGUUUUGUUUAAAACUGAUCGAUCGUAAAUUCAUAAUUUAUUGUACAUACUAACGUAUAGAUUACGAUUUCAGAAUGAAAUUAUUUUACAAUAAAACGUAGGGACAUUAUGAUUUAUGCUUUAAUAUGUACAGUAAGAAGUUUGUCAAAUUGUUACGAUAUAUAAUAUUCUGUAUUUUGUACAACAAGGUGCCAUCAUUGUAUAAAAUAAUUUUGGUGUGUGUUCUGUGGUAUUAAGAGAUUUUAUGAGUACGCGAUUUAUCCAUAAUAUCACAGCUAUACCUAAGAUAUUUCAUCUAGGUCUCCAUGUAAAUAUUGUGUCUAAGUUGCAGUGUAGAACAAUAAUAAUGUGUAAAGUAUAAUUAAUAUAUAAAUUUUUUACGUCGCUUAA